rnacentral:rRNA from 1 species
UACGUAGGGACCGAGCGUUGUCCGGAAUCAUUGGGCGUAAAGAGCGUGUAGGCGGCUUGUUAAGUCUUGCGUGAAAUCUCGGGGCUCAACCCCGAGCGGUCGUGAGAAACUGGCAGGCUAGAGUGCGGGAGAGGAGAGUGGAAUUCCUGGUGUAGCGGUGAAAUGCGCAGAUAUCAGGAAGAACACCCGUGGCGAAGGCGGCUCUCUGGAACGCAACUGGCGCUGAGACGCGAAAGCGUGGGGAGCAAACAGG